rnacentral:rRNA from 1 species
UACAGAGGUCUCAAGCGUUGUUCGGAUUCAUUGGGCGUAAAGGGUGCGUAGGCGGCGCGGUAAGUCGGGUGUGAAAUUUCGAGGCUUAACUUCGAAACUGCAUUCGAUACCGCCGUGCUAGAGGACUGGAGAGGAGACUGGAAUUUACGGUGUAGCGGUGAAAUGCGUAGAUAUCGUAAGGAAGACCAGUGGCGAAGGCGGGUCUCUGGACAGUUCCUGACGCUGAGGCACGAAGGUCAGGGGAGCAAACGGG